UUCGUCCGUCCCGUGGACGCCCUGAACAUCGGGGCGCGGUCCCGGAUACCCUGACGGCGUGCGCCCUGCCGGGAAGCACGCACCAGGAGCUUCCCGGGCAGCCGCAAAGCCGACAGCCGUCGCAUCCAGAGGGAGCCCCUUCCAUG
rnacentral:sRNA from 1 species